UUCAAGGAUUAAGCCAUGCAAAUCUAAGAUCAGGCUAACUUAUUUCUAUAAGAAUAGCCAAUCUGUGGACUGCUCAUUAAAAUUGUUGUAAUCCUAGCCGCCGGAGAUCAUAUAAAAGGAUAACACUGUUAAAUGCAGCGAUAAUACUUGAGGCUUUAAUGUCUGGCAAUCAUCUAAUGUUAAUAACAUGAACAUUUGAAAUGAGAUGAUUGUAAGGUACAAUUAUCCCUCGUGGAUAUUGUAUAAGCCAACCAUUGAAAAAAGUUGAAUUGUUUAAAAUCAAAACAAAUUCCGGUGGUCCGGUAGAGGAGCUUCAAAUCUAUCAGCUUAAGUUGCCUGUGUAAAGAACAGGCAAGGCUAUAACGGAUAAGGGGAAUUAGUGUUUGAACCUGAGAGGGAGCCUGAGAAACUGCUACCACAUCUAAGGACGGCAGCAGGCGCGCAAAUUGCCCAAUAUCAACCAAGAUGAGGUAGUGACGAGUCUUAGUGACUUCACACUUUAAAAGUGGGAAGGUACUGUUUUUCAAAUAUAAAUUGAAUGACAGUUUAUCAUGAUCUGGGUUUAAAAUACCUGGAGAGCAGCAAUUGGAGCACCAGUCUGAUGCCAGCACGCGCGGUAACAUCAGCUCCAAUAGCGUAUAUUAAUACUGUUGCGGUUAAAAGAUCCGUAGUCGAUCAAAGGGUGAUUGAAUUAAAUUUGAUAUGAUUUGUUUUUUAUUCUAAUUUUUUUAUUUAUAUACUUUAAUGUAAUAAAUAAAAAUUUUGGAAUUUAAAACCUAAUCUUAUUAAAGAUUAGUGCCAAUUGGUUUCAUUAAAAUAUGAGGUCAAUUGGUAAUCAUAUCACAAUCAACCCGAUCCUUAUUCAAAAUACUCAAUAGUGUUUUGAAUAAGGCCUCCAUAAAAAAGGAGGAGCAACCAUGAAUAAAUCGUUGUGCUUCAAGCAGGCUAUGCAAAAAUAUAGCUUGAACGAUCAAGCAUGGGAUUGCAAAAGGAACCGUAUUGGAUAAGUCAUUAUAUUUGAUUCUUAAAAAAGAACAAAUAUAAAAAGACACAAUAUGGUGUUUAGAAAGGGGUAUCGGGAGAGGUUCCAAUUAUCUCAAAGUUAGGGGUGAAAUCCAUUGAUCUUUGAGAGAAUGACAAAGGCGAAGGCAGUUGAAAACCACCACAAACCCGUCGAUGAGGGAUUAAAGUUAGGGGAUCGAAGAUGAUUAGAUACCGUCGUAGUCCUAACUGUAAAAAUUGUCAAUCAAAAAUGAGAUACUUAUUAAUAUCGAAUUAUAAAGUAUUUUGUUUUUAGGAGAAAUCUGGAAUUUAUAGAUUCCGGGGGGAGUAUAGUCGCAAGGCCGAAACUUAAAGGAAUUGACGGAAAGGCACCACCAGAAGUGGGUUUUGCGGUUCAAUUCGACUCAACACGAGAAAACUUACCAGGGCAAGACAGGUAGAUGAUUGACAGGUUGAUAGCCCUUUCUUGAUUACCUGGAAGGUGGUGCAUGGCCGUUUGCAGUUCGUGGAGUGAUCUGUCUGGUUAAUUCCGAUAACGAACGAGACCCAAACCUCUAACUAGUUGAUUCUUAUUUCAUCGUUUCAUUAAAAUUUCUUCAUUUAUGAGGAAAUAGAAACUGUAUGAAAUGAAUCAAAAAAUUAAACUUCUUAGAGGGACAACGUUUGCAAUUUGAAAACGAGGAAGAUUUGGACUAUAACAGGUCUGUGAUGCUCUUAGAUGUUCUGGGCGACACGCGUAACACAAUAUUGAUAUCAAUGAGUUAUUUAUAUUUCAUCUUAUUAAAGAUGAAUUCCUUUUCCUAUUAAAUUUAUAAGAGGAAUGGGUAAACUAAAGAAAUAUCAAUAUGACUGGGAUAGAAGCUUGUAAGUAGUUUCUUAAACGAGGAAUUUCUAGUAAGCGUAAUUCAACAAAUUGCACUGAUUACGUCCCUGCCUUUUGUACACACCGCCCGUCGCUCCUACCAAUUGAAUGAAGAGAUGAAUUUGACGGACCUUGGUAUUAAGUUGUAAAACUUAAUUACAUUCUCAUCUUUUUAAAGAUGGGAAUACCGGGGAAAUCAAAUGAAUCCCUUUAUUCGUAGGAAGGAAAAGUCGUAACAAGGUAUUCGUAGGUGAACCUGCAA
rnacentral:rRNA from 1 species